rnacentral:rRNA from 1 species
UACAGAGGUCCCAAGCGUUGUUCGGAUUCAUUGGGCGUAAAGGGUGCGUAGGCGGCGAGGCAAGUCUGGUGUGAAAUCCCGGGGCUCAACCCCGGAACUGCACUGGAUACUGCUUUGCUAGAGUACUGGAGAGGGAACUGGAAUUUACGGUGUAGCAGUGAAAUGCGUAGAUAUCGUAAGGAAGACCAGCGGCGAAGGCGAGUUCCUGGACAGUUACUGACGCUGAGGCACGAAAGCGUGGGGAGCAAACAGG